CGCGGUGGGAGCCUGUGUUUCUGUCGCCUGUGUUUCGGCCGCAGGUGGCUCGUCUUCAUCAUCUUCACGGUCUUCAACUUCCCGUUUCACUGCAACUGCUUCAUCAGUUGCGGCAGUCGCAGUCGCGUCUAG